rnacentral:snRNA from 1 species
GUGCUUGCUUUGGCAGCACGUAUACUAAAACUGGACCAUACAGAGAAGACCAGCCUGGCCCCUGCACAAGGGUUUUGCAUGGAGGAUGCUAUUCAAUCUU